rnacentral:rRNA from 1 species
UACGUAGGUGGCAAGCGUUGUCCGGAUUUACUGGGCGUAAAGAGCGCGCAGGCGGUCGUUCAAGUCGCGUGUGAAAGCCCCCGGCUCAACUGGGGAGGGUCACGCGAUACUGAUCGACUCGAAGGCAGGAGAGGGUAGUGGAAUUCCCGGUGUAGUGGUGAUAUGCGUAGAUAUCGGGAGGGAACACCUGUGGCGAAGGCGGCUUCUGGGCCUUACCUGACGCUGAGACGCGAAAGCGUGGGGAGCGAACCGG